rnacentral:sRNA from 1 species
AAGAGGUUCGACUUGAGCGAAGCGAGAGAACGUUGCGCCAGCAACGGCCCGCAGGGUGAGCCACGCAGUGGCGAGUCAUCCUCUAUCACCGACCA